rnacentral:rRNA from 1 species
GACGAACGCUGGCGGCGUGCUUAACACAUGCAAGUCGAACGGAAAGGCCCUGCUUUUGUGGGGUGCUCGAGUGGCGAACGGGUGAGUAACACGUGAGUAACCUGCCCUUGACUUUGGGAUAACUUCAGGAAACUGGGGCUAAUACCGGAUAGGAGCUCCUGCUGCAUGGUGGGGGUUGGAAAGUUUCGGCGGUUGGGGAUGGACUCGCGGCUUAUCAGCUUGUUGGUGGGGUAGUGGCUUACCAAGGCUUUGACGGGUAGCCGGCCUGAGAGGGUGACCGGCCACCUUGGGACUAAGAUACGGCCCAGACUCCUACGGGAGGCAGCAGUGGGGAAUAUUGCACAAUGGGCGGAAGCCUGAUGCAGCAACGCCGCGUGCGGGAUGACGGCCUUCGGGUUGUAAACCGCUUUCGCCUGUGACGAAGCGUGAGUGACGGUAAUGGGUAAAGAAGCACCGGCUAACUACGUG